rnacentral:rRNA from 1 species
CCUACGGGAGGCAGCAGUGAGGAAUAUUGGUCAAUGGACGAGAGUCUGAACCAGCCAAGUAGCGUGAAGGAUGACUGCCCUAUGGGUUGUAAACUUCUUUUAUAUGGGAAUAAAAUGUUCCACGUGUGGGAUUUUGUAUGUACCAUAUGAAUAAGGAUCGGCUCACUCCGUGCCAGCAGCCGCGGUAAUACGGAGGAUCCGAGCGUUAUCCGGAUUUAUUGGGUUUAACGGGAGCGUAGGUGGAUUGUUAAGUCAGUUGUGAAAGUUGGCGGCGCAACCGUAAAAUUGCAGUUGAAACUGGCAGUCUUGAGUACAGUAGAGGUGGGCGGAAUUCGUGGUGUAGCGGUGAAAUGCUUAGAUAUCACGAAGAACUCCGAUUGCGAAGGCAGUUCACUGGACUGCAACUGACACUGAGGCUCGAAAGUGUGGGUAUCAAACAGGAUUAGAUACCCUGGUAGUC